rnacentral:lncRNA from 1 species
AUGUGUAUGUUUGGGGAGAGGGGAAGACUCUUACAGAGUUGUGGUCAGUCUGAUUGUCCAAGCUCAUGUCAGUAUACGUCAGAGCCCCCUGAGCUUCCAUCUAGCCCUGCCCAGCUCACCGUGUGACCCUGGUCAGGUCAGGUCACCUCCCUGCACCUGUGCCCUGAGUGCUAAAGCAGGAACAAAGACGAUAAUGACCAAUCUCAGAGACUUCAGACAACAGGAUUUCCAUAAAUCCACAUGUGGCCCAUCGUGGAGAGGAAUUAAAUGGCUUCUACUUUGGUCAUUGUUGUAAAUGACAGUCACUAUAAUUGUUAAUGUAUUUGUUUAUUAUCAUUCAUUUGUGUUAUAAUAUGAUGUUCUGAGUACAGAGUUCCCAGUUUUCUUUUCCCAGGGAAGGGCACCAACAAGUUUCCGGCCCUGCCUACAGGUGGUAGCCAAAGUGGACAAGGUAGACUGGCAGGAACUAGCCAAAGGCAGCUCUUCCCUUGUCCCAGGGACUUGGUGUGAAUAGGACAACCUGAAUGCAUCCUGUAUCUCCUAUUAGGUACAGGAGAUGAGUCCAGGGUCCACUUGGGGACCAAGGAUGUGCUGAGGAGGAGGCACCCCUUCUCUUCCGAGAGCAGGAUGGGAACCUCAUUAGGAGUGGCACUUCAGGGGCUGGCCCUGUGUCUGACCUUUGCUCCCCAUGGGGGUCCAGAGUGGCCCAUCAGUGGCCAGUGGCCUUGCUGGAAAUGCAGGUGGUGAUUUGGUGGGAGCUUCGACACCUUGAAGAGCUAAUUGUUCCUUGGCCAGGUACAGGAGGAGGCCUGCCAAAUGGCUCACAGAGACCCAGAGAGAUUGUCCUUUCUCCAAAUAUUUUGCCGGAGCAAGAAGGAACCCUGAACAGCACUGGCAGUGCUUUCCAAUGUUACCAAGCCGAGGAGGGAGAAUAGCAACAAUUGUCACCCAGCAGAGACAAUGGCUCUUUUAUGUGGAAUAUUUAUUUUCGGGGUGACCAGUAUUCUGUCAGCUGGGAUGGCUGUUGAGCUGCACUGUCUG